ACACCCAAGACGCUUAGACCACCCACAGUCCUUCACCAGACAAGGCCAGCAUCCAUUCCCUGGCCCUCAUCUGCUUUGGACUUACACCAAAGACUUAAAAUUUGGUGCCUGUCUGAGCCUAAUGCUUCAAGAUGUGAUUCUGUAGCUGUUGCUAUGGGACUAAACAGAAGAAAGAUAAUUAUUAAACAAAGUGGGAGCAGGCAGACCCAAAGUAAUAAAAGAUGGUAUGGCCCUUGCACAGACAACGGACUUAAAGGACAAAUAGAUGAACGUCAGUGCUGAGCUCGUUCAGGACACUGCCUUUGGCACAAAUGAAGAGGCCGGG
rnacentral:lncRNA from 1 species